rnacentral:rRNA from 1 species
AUGGGUUCGGUCCGUCUUUUCCUGAUCUUUGUUUGUCCCACCAAAAAAGGCGUGAGAGGACGUUGCAGAUGUCCGGGACGGACACGACUUCUUCUAACGCUAGAAGACCACAGGAAGAAACCCGGGACCAGAGCAUGUCGUGAAAGACGCACACGGGGCGGGCGUGCUUCGACCGUGUCUCCGGGGCACAGUUGA